CGACGAAAAGGCUCGCGGCUGCCAGAGAUUAGGCUUUGAGGGCCUAGGAAAGCUGCAAGCUGGUGAGAGCGACCUUUCCAGUUAGGGAGCGGGUUCGCUGGCCCUACCGGUGGGCUUGCGGUGGUGGAGGGCUCGCAAGAAGUUCGAGUGCCCCUGGGUGGUGCGACCUCGCUCCUUUCGCACCCCUCAGCGCCAGCUGAGUGGUUAAACUGAGCAAAUAAUGGCCAGUAAUCACAAACCUUCAGCAGUUCGCCCUGUUUCUCGAGGUGGGAUUGGAUUGACAGGAAGGCCUCCUUCUGGAAUACGACCCCCAUCAGGAAAUAUUCGAGUGGCAACUGGUAUGCCACCUGGAACAGCAAGACCAGGCUCUCGUGGUGGUCCCGUAGGGACAGGAGGAGUUCUGUCUUCUCAAAUCAGAGUUGCUGAUCGUCCUGUAACACAGCAAGGUUUGAGUGGGAUGAAAACUGGUAUGAAAGGUCCCCAGAGGCAAAUUUUAGACAAAUCUUACUAUCUUGGACUUCUUCGAAGUAAAAUAAGUGAACUUACAACAGAAAUCAAUAAACUUCAGAAAGAAAUAGAAAUGUACAAUCAAGAGAAUUCAGUAUAUUUGUCAUAUGAAAAGAGAGCUGAGACUCUAGCUGUUGAAAUAAAAGAGUUUCAAGGACAACUAGCAGACUACAACAUGUUGGCAGAUAAACUUAAUACCAAUACUGAAAUGGAAGAAGUAAUGAGUGAUUACAACAUGCUUAAAGCUCAAAAUGAUCGAGAAACACAAAGUAUGGAUAUUAUAUUUACCGAAAGACAAGCGAAGGAAAAACAAAUUAGAAGUGUAGAAGAAGAAAUUGAACAGGAAAAACAAGCAGCAGAGGGUAUAAUCAAAAAUAUGUCUCCUGAAAAACAAGUCAAGUAUAUAGAAAUGAAAACCACAAAUGAGAAAUUAUUGCAGGAAUUAGAUACACUUCAGCAACAGCUAGAUUCACUGAAUAUGAAAAAAGAGAGCUUGGAAUCUGAAAUAGCACACUCCCAGGUUAAACAGGAGGCUGUAUUGCUACAUGAAAAGCUUUAUGAGUUGGAGUCCCAUCGAGAUCAGAUGAUUGCAGAAGACAAAAAUAUGGGAUCUCCAAUGGAAGAAAGAGAGAGAUUGCUCAAGCAGGUUAAAGAAGAUAAUCAGGAAAUAGCCAGCAUGGAGCGGCAGUUAACAGAUAUAAAAGAAAAAAUAAAUCAAUUUAGUGAAGAAAUUAGACAACUUGACAUGGAUUUAGAAGAACACCAAGGUGAAAUGAAUCAGAAGUACAAGGAGCUAAAAAAGAGGGAGGAAAAUAUGGACACUUUUAUUGAGACUUUUGAGGAAUCUAAGAACCAGGAACUGGAAAGGAAGGCACAGAUAGAAGCCAACAUUGUUUCGCUUUUGGAGCAUAGUAGUCGAAAUAUAAAUCGUAUGAAACAGAUAUCCUCUAUCACCAAUCAGGAGCUGAAGAUGAUGCAGGAUGAUCUCAAUUUUAAAUCUACUGAAAUGCAGAAAUCACAGAGUACAGCUAGGAAUCUGACUUCAGAUAGUCAGAGGCUACAGUUGGAUCUACAAAAAAUGGAGCUUCUGGAAAGUAAAAUGACUGAGGAGCAACAAUCUCUAAAAAACAAAAUUAAGCAAAUGAUAACUGAUCUGGAGACAUAUAAUGAUUUGGCAGCUUUAAAAUCAUCAGGUGAAGAAAAGAAAAAGAAGUUACAUCAGGAGAGAACAGUAUUAUCAACUCGCAGAAAUGCCUUUAAAAAAGUAAUGGAGAAACUAAACACAGAAUGUGAGACACUAAAAACACAGCUGCAAGAAAACGAGACACAUUCUCAGCUCACAAAUUUGGAGAGGAAGUGGCAACACCAUGAGCAAAAUAAUUUUGUGAUGAAAGAAUUCAUAGCAACCAAGAGUCAAGAGAGUGAUUACCAGUCGAUUAUGAAGAAUGUGUCCAAGCGGAUUGCAGAGUAUAAUAAAAGCAUCAUGGUUGCUCUUCGUAGCAUGAACAGAAAUGGACUCUUUCAGACUAUGGCUGCUGCUGUUCAUUUCUAUUCCGGAAUAUGCAUUCACUCUUUAGUACUACAGGAGGACUUAAGCAGAUUAAUUUAUAAGCAUUGCCAGCACAUUUGAAAGAUAAGGUGGAAGAGGUAGAAAUGUAUCAUAUCAAUCUGGGGAGACAUUAUGGAACUGAAGAUGUAGCCUGCUUUUUGGGAAGAAGCUUUUCAACAAAUCCAACAAGAAUAUUCCCUCUGCUAGGAUAGACCUGGAAGCUACUAUCUGCUUAAACCGGCUCUUCCUCAGUCAGUCACAUUGCUCAGUGAGUUUCAUUCCUGUUAAAAUAACACCUUGUAAGUCAUAUGGAAAGAAGCUGUCAACUGAACAAACAUGCUGAAUAGCCUUACUAAUGAAGAUCAACAUGGGAAAGUUAGCAAAAGCUUUGUUUUUCCCACCCUUAUCUUUAUCAGUAAAUAAACAUGAGUUCUUUAUACUCUUUCA